rnacentral:rRNA from 1 species
GAGUGGCAAACGGGUGAGUAUAAUGUGGGAAUCUGCCUUUUGGAUCGGAAUAACACGGGGAAACCUGUGCUAAUACCGGAUAAGUCUUUACGGAGAAAGCUUUAUGCACCAUUGGAUGAGCCCGCACUUGAUUAGCUAGUUGGUAAGGUAAUGGCUUACCAAGGCAACGAUCAAUAGCUGUUCUUAGAGGAAGACCAGCCACAUUGGGACUGAGACACGGCCCAAACUCC